rnacentral:tRNA from 1 species
GGCUCGAUAGCUCAUUCGGUAGAGCAGAGGACUGAAAAUCCUCGUGUCGCUGGUUCGAUUCCUGCUCGAGCCACCA